GCGAGUUCACAGCGACUCCCAACCCGUGAGAACCUUACCGCAUCCUUUCCGAGAGAGAGCGCCCGUUGCCUCCUGCCGGGCGGCGUGCCCUCCCCCCCCCCUCUGCGGGGGGCGGGACGGGCGCCCGCCCGACGGGGGCGCGGCGCGGCCGCUCCCUCCCGCCGCGAACCUUCUUUGCAGUAUAUUUGUAUCGUCUGAGCAAACCACAGAAUCGUUA
rnacentral:misc_RNA from 1 species